ACUGGGACUGUCACGUUGCACUGAGCAAGUGACUCGAAAGCGAUUUUCUCGGCAAAUCUUGCAUUUCAGUUGAAAAAAAUUGAAUGUUCAGCUUUUCAAGUGUAUAUUUAUAGUAUACAGUGUGUCACUGUCAUAGUGAGAGUUGUUAUGGAAAAUAAUACGUGAAAAAACGCCAUCGGUGCUGCAGAUCGACCAUAUCGCUGCCAUAACAUGGUUUUAGAAUGGAAAAAAUCUGCCGUUUGCCUUUCAAGUUACAUAGUUUUGGGUUUGCAGACUAAAAGUUUUAGUGAAGGUUGACAGCAUACCUACCCCUGCCUUAGCUAUCGCAUGAGAAUGGACUUGAUGGCAUGGAAUGAUGAAAAGAUACCAGUUAGACAAAGCAGAAAAUUCCCAAAUUUCAUAUCAGCUGACAAUAAGAGAAGAGGUGUUCUAGUCAAGACAUGGGAAAAUGUAGUUCCAUACGAUUUUGUGUGAUGGUGCUGUGCUGUUGAUGCAGGUGUGACUGAACAAGAGAUGGUGUUUUGUAGAGUCUUGGAUAUUGUUUACCCUAGAAACAUUUCCAGGCGACAAGAGGAUUAGGCUAGUGACUAUAUUCCGUCAAAUUCGUUUAGCGACCCUAUCAUUAUCACACUCCCUCUAUUGUAUUUUCUGACUUUAUAAUUGUAUCUAAUCUUCUUACGUUAGAUGGAAUAAAUGCACACAUACAUAAUC